ACAGCCCCACGCCCAACCCACACACACACACCAACGUUGGAUCCCAUCUCUCUCGUCUUCCUCGAUCCCCUUUCUCCACCCUACGCCGCCGCCAGAUUUCGGCGAUCCCCGCCGUUCCCCAUCGCCCAGCUCUCCUCCCCGAGUUCACCUCUCCCCGCUCACCAUAUCCACCGACCGGUUUCUCUCCUCGCCCAGGAGAGCGACGCCCAGGCACUGGUGGUGGUGCACCGCGAGGAGGCCCCAGUGGCGUCGAGCUGUUGUUGCUGCGGGCACAGCGACAUGCUAGGGAGGAGCUACGUCGGGAUGCUGCUCGGAUGGGACACGGGAGGCGGAUGGAGACUGAGGCGGUUGGAGCGGAGUCGGCGGAGGCCACGGGUGGCGUCGGCGAUUUCCCACUGGAUCCAGUCUGCAGCUUGCCGAUAUUCUGGUCGUCACGCGCCACCGUCAUGACGAUAGGAUCGAGGUGGCGUGAAGGAUGGGUGGUAGUGCGAUAGAUUCAUAGGUGGCUGCACAUGACAGCUGCGGUGGCCACGGGGGCGAGGAAGCAGAGACAGCGGCCCUAUAGAGUCCAGCGAGUCGGCGGUCAAGCCCGAUCCAAAGACUCCAUGCAGGAUAAGGAGAUGGAGUAGGAGGAUGAGCAGCAGCAGCAAGUCAGCCUCAUGAUGACAGGGUGCGGGAGGCAAUGGUGAUCAUGCUGAUGGCAUGAAGAAGGCUGAUGACCACAACCUGGACCUGUUGGCAUUUAGAGAUGGCAAACACAGGCGGCAUGGAGACAACAACCUGGACCACCCACCUCCGUUGCCUUUUUAAUUUUGGUUGUGGUGGUUGCAUCACCGGCUUAGUCGCAAAUCAGUAUGUAGUGUGCUUGUGGAGUUGGGUCUGGACUGCAGUGUCCAUGUAGUAGGUUAGGUGCUGUUGCUGCUAGAUUCCAUGAUGCUCACCUGAGUUUUGUGUUAUGUAGAGGCCAACCUUUGUGAUCUUAUUUGUCGACACUUAUGUGAUCUGGUCUUACUUUGUGAUACAGGUCAUAUGAUAUAUAUGUAAUUA